rnacentral:rRNA from 1 species
AUUCUUCGGAAGAUGUGGCUUUGAUGAGAGCGGCGAACGGGUGAGUAACGCGUGGGUAAUUUGCCUCGAUGUUCGGGAUAGCCUUUCGAAAGGAAGAUUAAUACCGGAUGUGGUCGUUGAUCGCAUGGUCAACUGUCUAAAGGUGGGGAUUCUUCGGAACCUGCCGCAUUGAGAUAUGCCCGCGUCCCAUCAGCUUGUUGGUAAGGUAACGGCUUACCAAGGCUAAGACGGGUAGCUGGUCUGAGAGGAUGGUCAGCCACACUGGGACUGAGACACUGCCCAGACUCCUACGGGAGGCUGCAGUCGAGAAUCAUUCACAAUGCGCGAAAGCGUGAUGAUGCGACGCCGCUGGAGGAUGAAGGCUCUAGGGUCGUAAACUCCUGUCAGGAGGGAAAAACCUCCCGACCAUUAAUAGUGGUUGGGAUUGAUGGUACCUCCAGAGGAAGCCACGGCUAACUCUGUGCCAGCAGCCGCGGUAAUACAGAGGUGGCAAGCGUUGUUCGGAUUUACUGGGCGUAAAGGGUGCGUAGGCGGCACUGUGUGUCGGAUGUGAAAGCUCACGGCUUAACCGUGGAACUGCAUCCGAAACUACAGAGCUAGAGUAUUGGAGAGGUAAGUGGAAUUCUUGGUGUAGCGGUGAAAUGCGUAGAUAUCAAGAGGAACACCGGUGGCGAAAGCGACUUACUGGACAAAUACUGACGCUGAGGCACGAAAGCUGGGGGAGCAAAAAGGAUUAGAUACCCUUGUAGUCCCAGCCGUAAACGUUGUGUACUUGGUGUAGGAGGAAUUAUCCCCUCCUGUGCCGGAGCUAACGCGUUAAGUACACCGCCUGGGGAGUACGGUCGCAAGAUUAAAACUCAAAGGAAUUGACGGGGGCCCGCACAAGCGGUGGAGCAUGUGGCUUAAUUCGAUGCAACGCGAAGAACCUUACCAGGGCUUGACAUGCCCGUCGUAUCCUGCAGAAACGUAGGAGUCAGUUCGGCUGGACGGUGCACAGGUGCUGCAUGGCUGUCGUCAGCUCGUGCCGUGAGGUGUUGGGUUAAGUCCCGCAACGAGCGCAACCCUUGUGAUUAGUUGCCACUCCCUUCGGGGAAGCACUUUAAUCAGACUGCCCGUGACAAGCGGGAGGAAGGUGGGGACGACGUCAAGUCUGUAUGGCCCUUAUGCCCUGGGCUGCACACGUGCUACAAUGGCCGGUACAGAGGGAGGCAAGACCGCGAGGUGGAGCAAAUCCCCAAAACCGGCCCCAGUUCGGAUCGUAGUCUGCAACUCGACUACGUGAAGUUGGAAUCGCUAGUAAAGGCGUAUCAGCUACGACGCCUUGAAUACGUUCCCGGGCCUUGUACACACCGCCCGUCACAUCAUGAAAGCCGACUGCACCCGAAACCGUUGAUCCAACCCGCAAGGGAGGAAGACGUCUAAGGUGUGGUUGGUAAUUGGGAUGAAGUCGGAACAAGGUA